CCGUGAUGAACUAACCGUCUGUCGCUGGGGAGGAAUCGGAUAGGGGAAAUCGCAGCAAAAAAUCUUGAAAUAACAAAAUAGCACGACAGGUAUUAUAACAACGCAUUAGCGAGCGCCGCUCACUUUAAGUGACCUGGUUGGCACCUUGUGUUGACUAGUGCUAGAAAGCAGGUGGGUUAUUUUAUUUGUAGUGUUGUUAUAUCUAAUUAGUUUAAUUAGAGUUUUUACUAAUUUAAACUUUUGUUUAGAAUAUUAACAGUUUAGUUAAGGAUUUGUAGAUUCGAUGAACCCUUCUGAGUAACUAAUCUUAAAAGUCAUAGCAAGGUAGCUUGUACUGGAA
rnacentral:rRNA from 1 species